GGCCUGGGUGCCGGAUGUUCCUUUUCUUCCUGUCUGCAGGUCUGGACGGGCAAGUGUUCUUCAUCAAGCUGAUUCCCACCUUUCUUAAGGAGCUGGAACCAGGAGGAGGGCGUCAGUUCGUUAAUGCUCCAGCAUGAACCCGGGAUCCCAAGCCAGAAACCACUCAAGAGACCUCUUCGCUCUGGACACCUGUCAGAGACUUAUCAGUCAGCCUCAAGGAACCAGUGAGGUUAUGGGCCUCUGAACUAUUAAAGCCCUCCUGCCUGAGCUCGCCUGCCUGUCCACCCUCAGACACCACCAUCAGAUCUCACCCACCGGACCUGCACCAUUCGCCUGGACCACUGGUCACCAUCCUCCCAAGACAGACACCAAGUCGCCCUCUCUCAGUAUCCAGAAAACCCUGCCUGCCGGGCUUCUCUCUGCACAGCCUCAAACCUUCAAUAAAAUCCUUU